AGAGUUUGAUCCUGGCUCAGGAUGAACGCUAGCUACAGGCUUAACACAUGCAAGUCGAGGGGAAACGACAUCGAAAGCUUGCUUUUGAUGGGCGUCGACCGGCGCACGGGUGAGUAACGCGUAUCCAACCUGCCCACCACUUGGGGAUAACCUUGCGAAAGUAAGACUAAUACCCAAUGACGUCUCUAGAAGACAUCUGAAAGGGAUUAAAGAUUUAUCGGUGAUGGAUGGGGAUGCGUCUGAUUAGCUUGUUGGCGGGUAACGGGCCCACCAAGGCUACGAUCGAGUAGGGGUUCUGAGAGGGAAGGUCCCCCACAUUGGAACUGAGACACGGUCCAACUCCUACGGGAGCA
rnacentral:rRNA from 1 species